rnacentral:lncRNA from 1 species
UUAACUAUCACUGGAUGAAGCAUUCCUUAAGAAAGGUAAAUCAACACUAUGAUGAUACUCUUUACGAAUGCACUAGCCGUAGUUAUCUAUUACCUAGAGUUCUGGAUAUAUCCCAUUGGGGAAAACACACCAUAGUGAUUUAUUGCCUGCUUUAGAUCCAUCUCGUGAAUAUUUAAAAAGGUCACUAAAUGACUAUUAUAACAUUUUUCUCAUGGUUCUUAAAGCGUCAAGGUGAGGCAAGAUGACACACCAAAGCUCAAUUGCCUAGGCAACGCCUAGGCGUUCAAGACGGCAGUCAAGGCGACGCUUUACAUGCAAGAGCGCAAGAGGAAGAUCAGAGAUCUAAGAUGCAGAGCAAAGAGGAGGGGAGAGGAAGAGCAGAGGAUUGGAGAAGAGGUAGAGUAGAGAUCCAAGAGACAGAGCAGAGAGGAGGAAAGGAAG